rnacentral:rRNA from 1 species
UUCCAGACUCCUACGGGAGGCAGCAGUGAGGAAUAUUGGUCAAUGGGCGGGAGCCUGAACCAGCCAUGCCGCGUGAAGGCGAGUGCCCUACGGGCGUUAAACUUCUUUUGUGCGGGAGCAAUAAGGGCCACGCGUGGCCCGAUGAGAGUACCGCACGAAUAAGCACCGGCUAACUCCGUGCCAGCAGCCGCGGUAAUACGGAGGGUGCGAGCGUUAAUCGGAAUUACUGGGCGUAAAGCGCUCGUAGGCGGUAUGUCAAGUCAAGGGUGAAAUCCCCGCGCUCAACGUGGGAACUGCCUUUGAAACUGGCAAACUGGAGUGUGUGAGAGGAUAGUGGAAUUCCAGGUGUAGGAGUGAAAUCCGUAGAUAUCUGGAGGAACAUCAGUGGCGAAGGCGACUAUCUGGCACAUAACUGACGCUGAGGAGCGAAAGCGUGGGUAGCAAACAGGAUUAGAUACCCCUGUAG